rnacentral:rRNA from 1 species
AUUGAACGCUGGCGGCAUGCCUUACACAUGCAAGUCGAACGGCAGCACGGGAGCUUGCUCCUGGUGGCGAGUGGCGAACGGGUGAGUAAUACAUCGGAACGUACCCUGAAGUGGGGGAUAACGUAGCGAAAGUUACGCUAAUACCGCAUAUUCUGUGAGCAGGAAAGAGGGGGAUCGCAAGACCUCUUGCUUUAGGAGCGGCCGAUGUCGGAUUAGCUAGUUGGUGAGGUAAAGGCUCACCAAGGCGACGAUCCGUAGCGGGUCUGAGAGGAUGAUCCGCCACACUGGGACUGAGACACGGCCCAGACUCCUACGGGAGGCAGCAGUGGGGAAUUUUGGACAAUGGGCGCAAGCCUGAUCCAGCCAUGCCGCGUGAGUGAAAGAAGGCCUUCGGGUUGUAAAGACUCUUUCGGUUGGGGAAGGAAAGUUAGCUUCGGUUAAGUAACCUGAGUAGAUGACGGUACCGCCAUAAGAAGCACCGGCGUAACUAACGUG